GCGCCCUUAGCUCAGCUGGAUAGAGCAUCAGGCUUCGAACCUGACGGUCGGGAGUUCGAAUCUCUCAGGGCGCGCCA
rnacentral:tRNA from 1 species